UACGUAGGUGGCAAGCGUUGUCCGGAUUUACUGGGCGUAAAGAGCGCGCAGGCGGUCGUUCAAGUCGCGUGUGAAAGCCCCCGGCUCAACUGGGGAGGGUCACGCGAUACUGAUCGACUCGAAGGCAGGAGAGGGUAGUGGAAUUCCCGGUGUAGUGGUGAAAUGCGUAGAUAUCGGGAGGAACACCAGUGGCGAAGGCGACUUCCUGGACCAGUACCGACGUUCAGGCACGAAAGCGUGGGGAGCAAACAGG
rnacentral:rRNA from 1 species